GUGAACUUUUGUAACUCUUGGAUGUUUGCAUCAUUUGAUUAUAGUGGCAAUUUUGGAGCUGUUUAUUAGUGUCUCUAUUGCAGUAUUAAUUCUGACCUUUAUUAUUGGCCACCAUUAGGCUGUUUGUGCGGGGGCGCCACGUCCGCAGCGAUCCAGCGCGCUGCCUGGUGGCCCUCUCCGCCGUCGGACGUUGCCCCUCCUUACGGCGCACUUUGUUUUCUCUCUACGCACAGACGCCCGUGGAAUACGCAGCCGCAGGUUCCUCCGGUACUGCCGACACCCGCGGGACUAUGGGAGAUAUCGCAGUGGACCGCACUCCCCUUUCGAGGGCUGCCCUCGUUCUUAAGAAGACCAGCUUGGCGACCGGAAGGUUGCAUGGAUCUGAUCAUUGGAGAUCCCAGGUGUACUUUUCUCAGAGCAGAGAUAGUGAGGCUGGAAGUGGCCCGUGUGCCCACCGUGCUCUUGGCUCGGAAGAGUGAGCGCUGCCCGAGAAAAAGGAAGAUGAUGGAUGUGUUGGGAAGACACGGCACACGCGGCGGCCCCGGAAAUCAACGGAAGCGAACGUCGGGCGGCAGGAGAAUUUCUGCGAACGGCUUCCCCGAAAGCCUGCGAUGGAGCCGUGUGCUGGAGCAAGGUAUUUUUACUCUGUCAUCGCGCCGCUUUGUUCCAAGGAGCGCCCCAACGUGUCCGAAUCGGGCGCCGCCGGCCUCGUCUCCGACCAGCGUGCGUGGAAGGGAGUGGAGGUGGAGCAGAGCCACAGUGACACGUUGUAGGAUGGAUGGAGGGAGGGAGCACGCGACAUACGCACUCUCGCACGCACAGACACACGCCUGCCUUAUUAAUUACUGCGUGAGCCGAGGUUUACGCGCGGUGGCGGCGCUCACCUGGUCAACGCGGCGACGCUCGGCCUCGGCCUACAGAGGGCGUGCGACCCGGCGCCACGAGGAGCGGGUCCCGCAGCCAGAGCUUAGCGCGGCAUCACAGCCUCGGUGGCGAAACGACGCAUCUGUUAAAGCACUUAAGAGCAGCUGCUGAUACUCAAAGUGUGUGCUAAUUGACGUAAUUGGAGAGGAGCCACGUCCACGGCUUCGCUGCUUUACCUGCACUCAACGCUUUGCCGCACGGCUGCCGUCAGCGCCCCCCACAGGCCAAUUAGCGGGGGGGGGUGGGCACCACCACCACCACCACCACCACUGUGUGAGUGACAGCAUGGUUGUACAGAGGGCCGGUGCGCGGCGCA
rnacentral:lncRNA from 1 species